UACGGGGGGGGCAAGCGUUGUUCGGAAUUACUGGGCGUAAAGGGUUCGUAGGUGGCCAACUAAGUCAGACGUGAAAUCCCUCAGCUCAACUGGGGAACUGCGUCUGAUACCGAUUGGCUUGAGUGCAGGAGAGGAACGCGGAAUUCCAGGUGUAGCGGUGAAAUGCGUAGAUAUCUGGAGGAACAUCGGUGGCGAAGGCGGCAUCCUGGACCGGUAUUGACGCUGAGGCGCGAAAGCCAGGGGAGCAAACGGG
rnacentral:rRNA from 1 species